rnacentral:rRNA from 1 species
GUUGCUAAGACUGGAUAGGGAAUAAAAAGGCAUCGGUUAAAGAUGAGCUUGCGCCACAUUAGUUUGUUGGUGGGGUAAUGGCCUACCAAGACGAUGAUGUGUAGCUGGACUGAGAGGUCGAACAGCCACAUUGGGACUGAGACACGGCCCAAACUCCUACGGGAGGCAGCAGUAGGGAAUUUUCGGCAAUGGAGGAAACUCUGACCGAGCAACGCCGCGUGAACGAUGAAGUAUUUCGGUAUGUAAAGUUCUUUUAUUGAAGAAGAAAAAAUAGUGGAAAAACUAUCUUGACGUUAUUCAAUGAAUAAGCCCCGGCUAACUAUGUGCCAGCAGCCGCGGUAAGACAUAGGGGGCGAGCGUUAUCCGGAAUUAUUGGGCGUAAAGGGUGCGUAGGCGGUUAGGAAAGUCUAUAAUUUAAUUUCAGUGCUUAACGCUGUCUUGUUAUAGAAACUACCUUGACUAGAGUUAGAUAGAGGCAAGCGGAAUUCCAUGUGUAGCGGUAAAAUGUGUAAAUAUAUGGAGGAACACCAGAAGCGUAGGCGGCUUGCUGGGUCUUGACUGACGCUGAGGCACGAAAGCGCGGGUAGCAAAGAGGAUAUAGAUACCCUGGUAGUCCACGCCGUAAACGAUGAGUACUAAGUGUCGGGAUAAAACUCGGUACUGAAGUUAACACAUUAAGUACUCCGCCUGAGUAGUACGUACGCAAGUAUGAAACUUAAAGGAAUUGACGGGACUCCGCACAAGCGGUGGAUCAUGUUGUUUAAUUCGAAGAUACACGAAAAAUCUUACCAGGUCUUGACAUGCUCUGCUAAGCUAUAGAAAUAUAGUGGAGGUUAUCAGGGACACAGGUGGUGCAUGGUUGUCGUCAGUUCGUGUCGUGAGAUGUUAGGUUAAGUCCUAAAAGUAGCGCAACCGUUGUCGUUAGUUACCAGCACGAAAUGGUGGGCACUUUAACGAGACUGCCAAUUAAACAUUGAAGGAAGGUGAGGAUUACGUCAAAUCAUCAUGCCCCUUAUGAUCUGGGCUACAUACGAGAUACAAUGUCUGUCACAAAGGAAGGCUUAAGGAGUUUUUAGCCAAUCUCAAAAAAGCAGUCUCAGUUCGGAUUGAAGUCUGUAACUCGACUUCAUGAAGUUGGAAUCGCUAGUAAUCGCGAAUCAGCAUGUCGCGGUGAAUACGUUCUCGGGGUUUGUACACACCACCCGUCAAACCACG